rnacentral:rRNA from 1 species
GUGGGGAAUCUUGCGCAAUGGGCGAAAGCCUGACGCAGCCAUGCCGCGUGAAUGAUGAAGGUCUUAGGAUUGUAAAAUUCUUUCACCGGGGACGAUAAUGACGGUACCCGGAGAAGAAGCCCCGGCUAACUUCGUGCCAGCAGCCGCGGUAAUACGAAGGGGGCUAGCGUUGCUCGGAAUUACUGGGCGUAAAGGGCGCGUAGGCGGACAGUUUAGUCAGAGGUGAAAGCCCAGGGCUCAACCUUGGAAUUGCCUUUGAUACUGGCUGUCUUGAGUACGGGAGAGGUGAGUGGAACUCCGAGUGUAGAGGUGAAAUUCGUAGAUAUUCGGAGGAACACCAGUGGCGAAGGCGGCUCACUGGCUCGAUACUGACGCUGAGGUGCGAAAGCGUGGGGAGCAAACAGGAUUAGAAACCCCUGUAGUCC